rnacentral:lncRNA from 1 species
UUAUUACAAUCCAUUGUCUCAAUUACAACAAUAUAAUGGGGCCAAAGUGAUAAAAACAGAUACUAGACUUCUUUAAACUUGAAUAUUCAUUAAGUGCGGCCUUCACACAUCAUGGGAGAUUAGAGAAGUACCUGGAAUUUGUGCAAAAGAACAACACUAUGAGUCAGCAAAGCUCAUCCAGCAUAACAUUCACAAAAUUCGUAGCUCAUGAUUAAUUGAUACACCCAGUAAUACUAGCAGCUGUCCCAGGAAAGUUUAAACCCAAGUUCAGACCAGUAGAAACCAAACAAAUGGCUUAAAUGGACCUCAAACAACUAGACAGGAGCCCAGGAAGGUUUUGACACCACACAAAAUCAGCAAUUUGAUUUAAAAUAGGUAAAACAAUGACCUAAUCCACUCAAAUGGAACCCAAAGCCAAUGCUGGAAACUCUGCUCUUAAAAUGUAUAUUUUUCAAGCUAUUUUCAUCUUUAUAUGGCUAACCUUCUACUGAACAGUCGGAAUUAGAGUCCUUUUCAGGAAAAAGCAGUCUAAUAGGAUAGUGAAAAAUCCACUAAGCUUCAGAGAAUUUGGUGACUCUCAGAAAACUCAGGAUUUCUGGACAUUUUUAGAAAUUUUUUGGAGAUUGUUGGGUUUGAAAUAUCUGGAAUUUUCCUAAGGAUUUUCAGAUUGUGCAACCUCUUCUUUUUGAAUGAAUUAGGGUCCCUUUUAUUGCCAAAUGCUAGGGCAACCCCUUUUAUUUUAUUUUAACUAAAGGUCCCUCUUUCAAUUUCCAGAUUUUACUUAGUUGGUCCUUUAUUUUUGAUUUGUGCCUCAAGUCUUAACAUCAGAUUACCAGAAUUCUAUUUUGAACCUCCAACUAGAAGGUUCCAGGAGUUUACUGCAGGAUUCUCAUUAUCCCAAUACCUAUAAUACCUUUAUAUUUUCCCCUCAAUUACCUAACCUAACCAAUUACACUCUAGUUCUUGUCAUUCUGGUCAGAAAUUGACUAUAGUUAGGAAAAAAUCCUAAUUAACCUGAGCUGAAAUGUUAUAAUAAACUAACCACUUGAAUUAAAAGAGACUGAAACUACACUACUUGUUUUACCCAAAAUAAAAAAGCAAACAAAAAUUAUCACAAACAAACUGAUUAAUGGAGAUAAAAUUGAAGACCAAAAUACUAAUCCAAUUAAACUAAUUAAACUAAAUACUGAACAGGAAUCGUAUGGUUGCAAUCAAAUAACAAAACGUAACCAAAAUCAAUCAAACCCUAAAUCAAUCCUAAGCAUAGAAGGAAUACUAAGAUGAACAAAAACAUACAAUAAUCAGAAAAGCUAAAGCAUAACAGAGAAAAUCUACAAAUAGAAAAAUAGAAAGAAACUUAUGAAAACUCACUGAUUUUGAGCUUUAAUCCGACUGCUUUUAACCUUGUUUCUGUUAUGUGUCUAUUUGGACACUCGUCAUCGACUGAAAUCAACCCGAACCAUUGAAAACCCAAAAGAGGUCCAGACUCUUCGAACUGAAAUUUGCGACGUCCCUCUUGGAUUUGGAAGGUCCUGGCUUGGGAUUUGGAAAUAGGGGGUUAGAAGAGUAUAUGGUAUGAGUUUGACGUUGUUUGGAGGAAUUAUGAUUUUGGAUUGGGGCUUUCAUUUGAUAUUCGAGGAGUUGGGAUGAUAUUUGAAGGAAGAUGAUACGGAUAUGGAAAGGGAAGGAGGAGAGGAGUACGAGGUAUAAAUUUGGGGUUAUUUUGAGACCGGCCACCGCCGGUGAGGCGAUUUCCGGCCGCGGUCGGUGAGGGUUAGGGUCUGAGUGUGAGGGCUUCUGAGAAACGGAGAUAGGGUAGGGGUAGAGGUUCCGACCGUUAUAUAUUAAGUGUAACCCAGUUCACAAUCGUUGGAUCAAAGAUCCUCGAUGGUUGGGGAUUAUUUUGCAAUGAAACGUCGUCAUUUCACUUAAAAGGGCAGGCCGAGUUGGGGAAUGGGUUUGGGUUGGGAAUUUGGUCCGGUUUUGAGAGUUUUGACCUUGGGCUAAUGAAUUAAUAGCCAUGGCCCAAGUUAUACCAUUUCUUUAUUUCCUUUUCACUUAAUUCUCUUUUAUUUGUUUUUCCUUCUUUUGUUUUUCUUUUUCAAUUUUUAUUAUGCAAAAUUAAAAAUGAAGACCCAAAUUGAUUUUAAAAUUACACCAAUUAAUUUUCAAUAUAACUAAAUCCUCAUUUAAAGAAAACUAAAACAAAUUAAAGAAUAAAUGCGAAAGAACCAUUUUUGUUGUUUUCUUUAUUUUUCAAUAUUAAUUAUCUAAUAAACCCUAAAAAAUAUUAAGUCGUAAAUAAAAAUAUGACAUUUUUGUAUUUUUAUGAAUUAUGCAAAUUAAAACGUGCGACAUGCAAAUAAAUACAGAAUUAUGCAAUUAAUUCAUAAUAUUCAAACAAACCAAAAAUCACGCAAAUAAAUCCUAAAAAUUCAAAUAAUAAAAGAAAGACGCAAGUAAACACGAAGUCACACAAUUAAUUUCCAAAAUUCACAAAAUCACACAAUUAAUACCUAAAAAUUCAAAUAAUAAAAGAAAAUUCCUAAUUUAGUGAAUUUUAUAGGAACAUGUCAAGCGAGGUAAAAAUCACGUGCUCACAACGAGCGUCAAGGUUCAAAUCUAAAGUCUGCAUGAAAAAACAUUCAAGACUCAAGAUCAAGCUUAAGAAGACUUACAGAUAGGAACUUUGUAACUUAUAGAUGACAGAGACACUUAGUUAGUCUCUUUUUUUAUAUGUAAUAAUAAGACCAUGGACCGGAACCUCGAUGAAACGACACCUCAUUCCACCUCGGUAUACUCUAUCACUAUUCCUACUUCUGAACUACACGUGGCCUCAUUCCUUUACAACCAAGGAUUUAUAGGCAGCUCAUAUAUUAGGGCUCGGUCACAUUCUCUUCCUUUCUCUUAGUUUUUGGUCUCUCUAAAUAAGGGUCGAGUCAAAAAAUAUGUCUAGUCGUUCUUUGUCUGAAAAUACUUCGUAUUUCCAGUCAAAGAGGGGCAGUUGUAGAUAUGAGUUUUUAUUCUCCCCAAGAUUUUAUAUAUUUUAGCAUUUAAAUACUUAGUUUAGGUUUAAUAUAGUUAUUUCAACUAAUUUUGGCUCUUUUACUUUAUGUUUAUUACAAAAUUGAAAAAUACAAGAAUAGUUUUAUUUUUCUCUAUUUAAUUAAGGUAUUAUGUAUGUUUAGAAAAAUAUUAUUUUUAGCUCAUUCUUAUGUUUAGUAUAAUCCUUGAAAAUAUCAAAAAAAUAGUUUUAUAUUAUAAUAUAGUUGUUUUAGUAAAUUAGGAUUAAUUCUAUAAUCUUAUGUUUUUAUUUUAGAAAAAAAUAAUAUUUUUAGCCAAACUGCAUGAAUUAUAGAAUUAAAAGUCAAUUUUAUAAUCCAAUCCACAAAGUCCAAUCUUCCGCCCAAUUCCCCAAUUCACAAACUAACCCAACCCAUAACCUUUUAAUUUAAUUCUGACUCUCUAUUUAAAUUUAAUCUUAUGGCCAAUAUUAAUUUUCCCAAAAGAAAAUCAGAAUAAAAGGACACAAUACCUAUACAGGAUCAGGAGUUGAACGACAAAAAAGGACCAGACCUUCUUCUUCAACUGGAAAAAGACAACAAUGAAAACCCUAGAGUUUAGCGCCACCGCCCACCUCCAGCAACACUAGUGCAAUAGACCCCAUCCCGUCCUCCUCCUCACAGCGGCGCACCAGCCCGUCUCCACUCCUCUUCACAAAAAUCGGCCACCCCCACUCAUCUCACCAACCUCUCCAAAACAAUGUGGAUUCGGAUUCGUUGUCGUCCACUAGGUGCCGUUGAGAUUCGGAGUCUUUGUUUCCGUUCGUGCGAGCAAACUCAGUCUGGUUUAUGUUCGAAAUCUAAUUCCCGUGUUGUUCGAUUUUUGUUGCCGCUACUAUUGCUUCGUUUCUUUGGGGUCACUUUGAUUUUUGUUUUUCAAAAUUACGGAAUCUGAUUGAGGUCAAGGCUGUUCAGAGUUGGCUCGUAAUUCCGUCCAAGUUUCAAUCAGAUUUCCGGCUGUAGCCUUUGGUUCAUUUGCUCGUGUAAUUGCUGAAAAUUUCAGUCAAUGGAAGUCUAAUUUUCAGGUGUAUCUCUUUUCUUCUUCUUUGUUUUUCUUGUGAAUUAUGUGGUUGAAACAUAAUACGAGCCUAUCGUAUAAUUUUAAAGUGUCUGUGGGUUUGAUAAUAGAGCUUGGUUUUUGGCCCACUAGUGUAAUUUUGGAGCUAUUAUGCUAUGCUGGAAAAUAUGUAUGUUUAGUAGUGAAUUUUCAGUGUAGCCUAGAGUAAUAUCUUAAGCCCGUGAGAAGUUCUAUAAUGUAUCAACAAACAUCGUUAAUAUAUCGUCAAGUGUCUAAGAGCAUACAACUUUCUUGGAUAUGAAAU